rnacentral:rRNA from 1 species
GAUGAACGCUGGCGGCGUGCCUAAUACAUGCAAGUCGAGCGAACAGACGAGGAGCUUGCUCCUCUGACGUUAGCGGCGGACGGGUGAGUAACACGUGGAUAACCUACCUAUAAUACUGGGAUAACUUCGGGAAACCGGAGCUAAUACCGGAUAAUAUAUUGAACCGCAUGGUGCAAUAGUGAAAGACGGUUUUGCUGUCACUUAUAGAUGGAUCCGCGCCGCAUUAGCUAGUUGGUAAGGUAACGGCUUACCAAGGCAACGAUGCGUAGCCGACCUGAGAGGGUGAUCGGCCACACUGGAACUGAGACACGCUCCAGACUCCUACGGGAGGCAGCAGUAGGGAAUCUUGCGCAAUGGGCGAAAGCCUGACGGAGCAACGCCGCGUGAGUGAUGAAGGUCUUCGGAUCGUAAAACUCUGUUAUUAGGGAAGAACAAAUGUGUAAGUAACUAUGCACGUCUUGACGGUACCUAAACAGAAAGCCACGGCUAACUACGUG